GUUUGUGGUAGCAAGAACCCACAAGGAUUCAAAGGACCCAAGGCAUGCAUGCAAGUAGAUCUUAGAAUCUGUGGUGAUUUUGAAGCUAAAUGAACAAUGGCAAAGGUAAUCUUAGAAGUGAAGAAGUUGUGGAUCACAUUUGGGAAAUUCAAUCUUAAACCUAAAGGAAGAGUAUAGUAAGCAAAGUUGCCAUUGUGGCAUGCCGGAGGAAGUAACCAGAGAUCGACAAGUGGAAAUUAGCUAGAUACGCGUUUAAGUCAAUAGCAACAUAAUGUCCCACUAUUGUGAGAUAGUGAUCAGACUAACGUGAUUUCAUUGGCAUUUCAGCCCACCGCGGAUAGCUAAAGGCAUUCCAAGUCGUUUUACUGCUAGAGGUCGAGUCUUCAUAGAGUAAUUUGUUAUGAAAUUAGACAAUUAUGUCAAUGCAAGUGUACAUUUGGAGAUUAUAAAUUUGUUAGCUUUAAAAUUAUUAUAGUUUUGAUUAUGACAA